rnacentral:tRNA from 1 species
CAGGGAGACAACAAAAUGUUUAAUAUUAUUUUGUCACCUUAGGUCGAUCGGUAUCUCACAUUUUUAAUUUAUUAAAAAUUUCAUUUCCUAAGUUUUUCUAGGUCACACCCAUUAUUUUUCCUGGGCCAUUAGCUCAGGUGGUUAGAGCGCACCCCUGAUAAGGGUGAGGUCCCUGGUUCAAGUCCAGGAUGGCCCAUCUCUCUAUGUUGGGGGUAUAGCUCAGUUGGUAGAGCGCCUGCUUUGCAAGCAGGAUGUCAGCGGUUCGAGUCCGCUUACCUCCACUGAUUACCACCUCUUCCAUAAUCUUUAGAAAGGAAAUCUUUUGAGUUGUGAUCAAAUUCUGAACGAAUCUAGCUUCCUAAUGAAUUCAUUAAGAUGCUGGACUCAUUGAAUUAAUUUCAUUGUUUUCAGAGAACCUUGGCAACUGCAUAGAUUAUUUUAAAGACAAUAAGCAUCUUUAAUGAUGCAGAUUUAUUAUUUGUGCGAAUGCAUUAAUAACAAUUCUAUUAAGCUGAUGCUUCAAUUUUGAAGUUAUU